rnacentral:rRNA from 1 species
GAUGAACGCUGACAGAAUGCUUAACACAUGCAAGUCGAUGGGGAAGUGGUGCUUGCACCAUGGUAACCAUGGCGGACGGGUGAGUAACGCGUAAGGAACUUGCCUGCGGGACUGGGAUAACAGCAGGAAACUGCUGAUAAUACCGGAUAAGGUCAUUAAGCUGCAUAGCUUAGUGAUGAAAGGAGACGCCUGCGGAGAGCCUUGCGUCCUAUUAGCUAGUUGGAGGGGUAACGGCCCACCAAGGCGAAGAUAGGUAGCCGGCCUGAGAGGGUGGACGGCCACAAGGGGACUGAGAUACGGCCCUUACUCCUACGGGAGGCAGCAGUGGGGAAUAUUGGACAAUGGGGGCAACCCUGAUCCAGCAAUUCUGUGUGCACGAAGACGGUUUUCGGAUUGUAAAGUGAUUUCAGCAGGGAAGAAGGAAGUGACGGUACCUGCAGAAGAAGCGACGGCUAAAUACGUG